AUGGGGAUACUACUGGUUUCCGGGAGAUUCUUGGCUCGACGGCCUCCACUGGCGCUCGCCCCUCGCUGCUCCCGAGGCUCCCCGGACAAGCGCGGCAGGGACGAAGGUGACACAUCAUCAACUGACUGGGAUAAGGCUUGGUCUACCUUUAAGAAGAAAGGGAAGAAGACCCUAUUCUCAGAGUUCUCACCGAACAAAUAUGUGACCUGGAACCCACGGCGCAGUGAGUAUCCAUUGUCAGAAGAAGUCGAUCCAAUCAAAAGAGCUGAGAGGUCUAACUUGAUGUUGUGGACAAGCCCAAGAUUUACCUUGGUAGGGGCGAUUAUCAUCGUUUCGGCAUUGCUAAUCUAUACAUUGGUUGUCCCACCCAAGUAA
rnacentral:rRNA from 1 species